rnacentral:rRNA from 1 species
UACGUAGGGUGCAAGCGUUAAUCGGAAUACUGGGCGUAAAGCGUGCGCAGGCGGUGAUGUAAGACAGAUGUGAAAUCCCCGGGCUCAACCUGGGAACUGCAUUUGUGACUGCAUCGCUGGAGGUACGGCAGAGGGGGAUGGAAUUCCGCGUGUAGCAGUGAAAUGCGUAGAUAUGCGGAGGAACACCGAUGGCGAAGGCAAUCCCCUGGGCCUGUACUGACGCUCAUGCACGAAAGCCGGUGGGGAGCAAACAGG